rnacentral:rRNA from 1 species
UACUCCUACGGGAGGCAGCAGUCGGGAAUAUUGGACAAUGGGCGCAAGCCUGAUCCAGCAAUACCGCGUGUGUGAAGAAGGCCUGCGGGUUGUAAAGCACUUUCAGUUGGGAAGAUAAUGACGUUACCAACAGAAGAAGCACCGGCUAACUCCGUGCCAGCAGCCGCGGUAAUA